UAUGAAGGUGGCUAGCGUGGUUCGGAAUUACUGGGCGGAGAGCGCACGUAGGCGGACCAGUCAGUCAGAGGUGAAGUCCCAGGGCUCAACCCUGGAACUGCCUUUGAUACUGCUGGUCUAGAGAUCGAGUGAGGUGAGUGGAAUUCCGAGUGUAGAGGUGAAAUUCGUAGAUAUUCGGAGGAACACCAGUGGCGAAGGCGGCUCACUGGCUCGAUACUGACGCUGAGGUGCGAAAGCGUGGGGAGCAAACAGG
rnacentral:misc_RNA from 1 species